rnacentral:rRNA from 1 species
UACGUAGGGGGCAAGCGUUGUCCGGAAUCACUGGGCGUAAAGGGUGCGUAGGCGGGUCUUUUAAGUCAGGGGUGAAAUCCUGGAGCUCAACUCCAGAACUGCCUUUGAUACUGAGGAUCUUGAGUUCGGGAGAGGUGAGUGGAACUGCGAGUGUAGAGGUGAAAUUCGUAGAUAUUCGCAAGAACACCAGUGGCGAAGGCGGCUCACUGGCCCGAUACUGACGCUGAGGCACGAAAGCGUGGGGAGCAAACAGG